UCUAUUGUCCAUCUAUUGUCCAUUUAAAUCAAUACUACUCACAACAUUGAUUAUAUGAGGGGAGCUUCUCAAUCGUUUUCACUACUUAGUUAAUUUUUGCACCUUCUGCAGGAACGAAAAAAAAAUGGAUAGCAAAAUCUAGAAAAGUUUAUAAUUUUCUGAAACAUAAAAUACAUUCAAAAUUUAUAUAUCUAGUUCCUGCCAUCCCUCAAAACUGUUGCAGGUGUAUAGGUUAGUCUGUACUCAGAGUAAAUUUUGGUGUG
rnacentral:lncRNA from 1 species